rnacentral:rRNA from 1 species
UACGAAGGGGGCUAGCGUUGUUCGGAAUCACUGGGCGUAAAGCGCACGUAGGCGGAUCUUUUAAGUCAGGGGUGAAAUCCUGGAGCUCAACUCCAGAACUGCCUUUGAUACUGGCGAUCUCGAGUCCGGGAGAGGUGAGUGGAACUGCGAGUGUAGAGGUGAAAUUCGUAGAUAUUCGCAAGAACACCAGUGGCGAAGGCGGACUCACUGGC